GAUGAACGCUGGCGGCGUGCCUAACACAUGCAAGUCGAGCGUGAAGCUCUUUAUUGAUUCUUCGGAUGAUUUAAAGAGUGGAAAGCGGCGGACGGGUGAGUAACGCGUGGGUAACCUGCCCUAUACACAGGGAUAGCCUCGGGAAACCGGGAUUAAUACCUGAUAAAACUCUAGUAUGGCAUCAUACAUGAGUCAAAAUUUCAGUGGUAUAGGAUGGACCCGCGUCUGAUUAGCUAGUUGGUAAGGUAAAGGCUUACCAAGGCGACGAUCAGUAGCCGACCUGAGAGGGUGAUCGGCCACACUGGAACUGAGACACGGUCCAGACUCCUACGGGAGGCAGCAGUGGGGAAUAUUGCACAAUGGGCGAAAGCCUGAUGCAGCAACGCCGCGUGAGCGAUGAAGGCCUUUCGGGUCGUAAAAGCUCUGUCCUAAGGGAAGAAUAAUGACGGUACCUUAGGAGGAAGCCCCGGCUAACUACGUGCCAGCCGCCGCGGUAA
rnacentral:rRNA from 1 species